rnacentral:rRNA from 1 species
AUUGAACGCUGGCGGCAGUCCUAACACAUGCAAGUCGAACGAGUGGCGGACGGGUGAGUAAUGUCUUGGAAACUGCCUGAUGGAGUGGGAUAACUACUGACACCGGUAGCUAAUACCGCAUCCCAUCGGAUGUGCCCAGAUGGGAUUAGCUAGUAGGUGGGGUAAAGGCUCACCUAGGCGACGGUCCCUCGCUGGUCUGAUAGGAUGACCAGGCACAUGGGAACGUGGACACGGUCCAGACUCCUCCGGGAGGGAGCAGUGGGGAAUAUUGCAACAUGGGCGCAAGCCUGAUGCAGCCAUGCCGCGUGUAUGAAGAAGGCCUUCGGGGUGGAAAGUACUUUCAACGGGGAGGCGGUACCCGGAGAAGAAGCACCGGCUAACUCCGGGCCAACAGCCGCGGUAAUAC